rnacentral:rRNA from 1 species
AACGUAGGAGGCGAGCGUUAUCCGGAUUUACUGGGCGUAAAGCGCGUGUAGGCGGCAUGAUAAGUUGGAUGUGAAAGCUCCCGGCUAAACUGGGAGAGGACGUUCAAUACUGUCAAGCUUGAGGAUGGGAGAGGGAGGUGGAAUUCCGGGUGUAGUGGUGAAAUGCGUAGAUAUCCGGAGGAACACCAGUGGCGAAGGCGGCCUCCUGGCCCAUUUCUGACGCUCAGACGCGAAAGCUAGGGUAGCAAACGGG